UGACCUCAGAAACAAGCAUGUUUGUUUCAUGUUCUAGCAUGAAAAUACAAGUAUUUAUGAAUUUCUUACCUAUUUCCCUCCCAGGGGAGAGAAUGGGAAGUGAGGGCCACUGGUGAACACUGAGUUAGAACAAAUGAGCAUUUAUAUGAGUAAUCCAAUUUACAUAAUGAAUCUGAUGGAAUCAUUGAAGAGUCUGCAGUUACUUUUCCCCAGGCUUUGUGAUCAAGGUGUUCAACCCCACUGGCAACUUCUCAACAAAAAACAGCAUUAAUUAGAUAUUCCCCUUUUCCCCUUGUGCUCCCAAGUCCUCCAUUAAGUUUAUGAAAGGGCUCCAGGUUUUCUAGGAGAAUAGAGAAUAUUGACUCUGCAAAUGUGCUUCUAAUUUGCUCCCCAGAUGAGCUCAGUUAGAACUCAGUCCCCUUUGAUGUUGCGCUACUAAAUGAAUGACAAGAAUGUCUAAUCUUUGAGUACAGCGUAUCCCAAAAUUUCUAUUAGGACUAUAGAAAACUUCUGAUUAUGACAACUCGGCAUUAAAAACUAACCCCCUUCUUGGUAUAUAUCCAAAGAAAAUAAAAUAUGGGUCUCAAAAUGAUAUCUGCACUCCAAUAUUCAUUGCAGUAUUAUUCACAGUAGACCAGAUACAUAAGCAACCUUAAGUUCUGUCAAUGGAUGAAUUGAAAUAAAUAAAAAUAGCCAAACUCACUGAGUUGAGAGUACAAUGGUGGUUGCUAUGGCAGGAGUGGUGCAGGGGAAAACGAGGAAGUGUUGGUCAAAGGGUACAAAGUUUCAGUAUGAAUGAGUUCUGGAGAUCGAAUGCACAACAUGCUGAGUAUAGUUAACAAUACUGUGUUGUAUACUUGAUAUUUUCUAAGAAGGUAGAUCUUAAGUAUUCUUACCACAUACACACAAAAAGAAUGGUAACUAU